rnacentral:rRNA from 1 species
AUUGAACGCUGGCGGAAUGCUUUACACAUGCAAGUCGAACGGCAGCACGGGGCAACCUGGUGGCGAGUGGCGAACGGGUGAGUAAUACAUCGGAACGUGCCCAAUCGUGGGGGAUAACGUGGCGAAAGUUACGCUAAUACCGCAUACGAUCUACGGAUGAAAGCGGGGGAUCGCAAGACCUCGCGCGAAUGGAGCGGCCGAUGUCAGAUUAGGUAGUUGGUGGGGUAAAGGCUCACCAAGCCAACGAUCUGUAGCUGGUCUGAGAGGACGACCAGCAAGACUGGGACUGAGACACGGCCCAGACUCCUACGGGAGGCAGCAGUGGGGAAUUUUGGACAAUGGGCGCAAGCCUGAUCCAGCCAUUCCGCGUGCAGGAUGAAGGCCUUCGGGUUGUAAACUGCUUUUGUACGGAACGAAACGGCUCUCUCUAAUACAGGGGGCUAAUGACGGUACCGUAAGAAUAAGCACCGGCUAACUACGUGCCAGCCGCCGCCGUAACAC